rnacentral:rRNA from 1 species
ACGCUCGACAUCUACGGGAGGCAGCAGUGGGGAAUAUUGCACAAUGGGGGAAACCCUGAUGCAGCGACGCCGCGUGGAGGAAGAAGGUCUUCGGAUUGUAAACUCCUGUUGUUGGGGAAAAAGAGGAUGGUACCCAACAAGGAAGUGACGGCUAACUACGUGUCAGCAGCCGCGGUAAUCUGAGCGGGCUGGCAAGGC